rnacentral:rRNA from 1 species
UACGAAGGGGGCUAGCGUUGCUCGGAAUCACUGGGCGUAAAGCGCACGUAGGCGGAUCUUUAAGUCAGGGGUGAAAUCCUGGAGCUCAACUCCAGAACUGCCUUUGAUACUGGGGAUCUCGAGUCCGGAAGAGGUGAGUGGAACUCCGAGUGUAGAGGUGAAAUUCGUAGAUAUUCGGAAGAACACCAGUGGCGAAGGCGGCUCACUGGUCCGGUACUGACGCUGAGGUGCGAAAGCGUGGGGAGCAAACAGGAUUAGA